rnacentral:rRNA from 1 species
AGGCAGCAGUGGGGAAUAUUGCACAAUGGGCGCAAGCCUGAUGCAGCCAUGCCGCGUGUAUGAAGAAGGCCUUCGGGUUGUAAAGUACUUUCAGCAGUGAGGAAGGUGGGUAUGUUAAUAGCAUAUUCAUUUGACGUUAGCUGCAGAAGAAGCACCGGCUAACUCCGUGCCAGCAGCCGCGGUAAUACGGAGGGUGCGAGCGUUAAUCGGAAUUACUGGGCGUAAAGCGCAUGCAGGUGGUUUGUUAAGUCAGAUGUGAAAGCCCGGGGCUCAACCUCGGAAUUGCAUUUGAAACUGGCAAACUAGAGUACUGUAGAGGGGGUAGAAUUUCAGGUGUAGCGGUGAAAUGCGUAGAGAUCUGAAGGAAUACCGGUGGCGAAGGCGGCCCCCUGGACAGAUACUGACACUCAGAUGCGAAAGCGUGGGGAGCAAACAGGAUUAGAUACCCUGGUAA